GACUGGGCGGCGGUCAUAUUUUGUACCGCUCUGCGGUACAUCUAGUUCUGUAUUCAUUCAGUCAGUGUAGUGACCUUGUGGGCCUUGCCUGCAGAGGGGACAUCCUGCACAUUUAAAAAUGUGAAGAUAAGGACAUUAGCAAGGUCCAAAGAGUCUGAUAUGCAGGGUUAGUAUUACUGUCACCACAUCCUGCUCUGGUUUUAGGUCACAACUUGCUUUUUCCUCUUCUCCCAAGAUUUCCCAACAUCCAAGCAGAAUGAUUCCAGCGGGUCGGCGGUGGAGGCAGAUUGGUGCCAAUUUCUGAAUGUGUGCACGUGUGCAAGUCUGUGUCACUGUGAAUGUGUGUGUGUGUGUGUGUGUAAUGGAUGUCUCUCUAACCCCCGAUAACGUCGGCAGGCGGGCUCAGCAGCAGUCACGGCUGUUUACGGUGAUGGUGACUCAGACAGGGUGGAUGUGUGGCCGCCACAGUCUCCCCGCCGCGGCAGCUCUGCUGGCGCUCCACAUUUCAUCAGUGGAAAUCAGGCCCCUGCUUGCGCACAGCCAAGGUGUCAUUGAGGAUUCGCCUGCUCUCUUAUCAAGAUUACUGGGCCACAUGUGGAACAACGUGGUAUUACAAGAGGGCCGGCCUGGCGCUAGCUGGUUUGCAUGUUAACUUCAGAUCUGGACAACACGAAACAGGCACCUUAGAGACCCCGGUAGGCUCUUCCCCUGAUGUUGCAAUGCAGAGGCCUGUGUGUAAACACAUGAUGAAUCAUAAAAUCAUCUUUUCUCACCGCUUUUGUGUAAACCGAAGUAAAGUCAGGUACUGUUACUCAUUUGUUCAUGUUUACUUAACAUAAUGUCACUAGUAAUAAGCAUUUGCUCAAUUAGAGUUCAUCAUUACUUACCACUUUUGUAUACCAUGAAGUAAAGUCACAUCCUGAUAGUCAUUUGUUAAUGCUUACAUAACAUAACUUCACUAAGCAAUUUGUUAAAUUGGAGUUCAUCAUUACUUACCACUGUUGUGUACCCUGAAGUAAAGUCAUGCCCUGGUACUCAUUUGUACGGUGGCCGGGAUGUGCAAAACAAAUUUACGUUUGCGGCUGCAAAUUUACAAUGUACAAUCACAAAAUGAUAAGUCAUAAAACAAAAUUACAAUCUAAAACAAAUGCACAACCCUGUGAACACUUUUACCAUGGGCUUAGGGACAAGUUACCAAUUUUUAUAUACCUUUAAUAACACUUUGUGGUACUAUUUUGCUUGAAUGAUAUGUUACAUUUAGACGUUUUCAAUAACUUUAUCCAAAGCAUGUUGUAUAUGUUGGGUCCACUUGUGCCAGUAAUGGCAAGAAAAUGUGAUUACACCAAGAUAAAGAUCAGAAUGACAGCAUGGAAAAGUAGUAAAUAAUCAAGUUAGCAGCAGUCUCAUUUACCCUGGGCUGCUCUUUAUCUAGCAUGCAGACACAAACCCAACCACACACAGAAAGAGAGAGAACACACACACACACACAAAAUGCUUUUACUUGGAUCCAUAUGAAGCAACAUACCAGACUUUGGGAAGAGUAAAUUGCAAGGCGACAGGUGUACAGUAAAUGGCCCAAAUACUUGUACCUAUACGAUAUCUAUGAGUUACCACUAUAUCAGGGGUAGCUAACCAGUCCAGCAUAAAGAGUCAAAAACAAUUCCACACCACUCAAAAGAAAAAUGCCCACACUACAACAGCAACAGUGAUUUAUAGGCCUACACCUAAUGAGACAUGGGGUUACAGUUUAAAUAGCGCUUCUCUUUUUUAUUUAAAGUGAGACUUGCAGAUUCUACAAAUAAUCUUUUUUAGAAAUGAGCAGCAAGCAACAAAAAUAUCUAAGACAUCACAAAUUCCCCCUCACUGAAUGACUUAUUAACAUGAGCGAAGCUCCAAUAUAACAACUGAUAUGACGCCAAUGUGACCAGUGUCAAAGAAAACGAGUCUGCUUCUCUGACUGAUGUUUAAAUAGCCUACUUUUACCUUGUACUUGCGAAGGUCAGUGUCUUUUGGAAAACUCUUGGGAAAUGUUCAGGUUUGAAAUCAGCUACGUUUGGCAUACCAAGUACCAAACUAACAUGUACAACGUUUUUUUUUUUUAAGGUGUUAUUUUGGGUACAGACACUUAAUGCUGCAAAACAACAAAUCCUCCCUUUGAAUGUCCUGUGUUCCUCGAUUUGUGCUUAGCUUCAGGCUAUGUUUUCCUGAUUGCAACAGUAGCAUUAA